rnacentral:rRNA from 1 species
GAUGAACGCUGGCGGCGUGCCUAAUACAUGCAAGUCGAGCGAACGGACGAGAAGCUUGCUUUUCUGAUGUUAGCGGCGGACGGGUGAGUAACACGUGGAUAACCUACCUAUAAGACUGGGAUAACUUCGGGAAACCGGAGCUAAUACCGGAUAAUAUUUUGAACCGCAUGGUUCAAAAGUGAAAGACGGUCUUGCUGUCACUUAUAGAUGGAUCCGCGCUGCAUUAGCUAGUUGGUAAGGUAACGGCUUACCAAGGCAACGAUGCAUAGCCGACCUGAGAGGGGGAGGGACCAAAGUGGAACUGAGACACGGUCCACACUCCUGGGGGAGGAGGAAGGAGGGAUUCUCCGAAAAGGGGGAAAGGCCGGAGGGGGCACCGCCGGGGGAGUGAUAAGGGUCUUGGGAUGAAAAAACUUUUUAAUGGGGAAAAAAAAUAUGUGAAAGAAACUGGGCCCGUCUUGAGGGUCCCUAAUCAAAAAGCCAGGCCAAGCUCGGUC